GAUGAAGAACGUAGCGAAAUGCGAUAAGUAAUGUGAAUUGCAGAAUUCAGUGAAUCAUCGAAUCUUUGAACGCACAUUGCGCCCCUUGGUAUUCCGAGGGGCAUGCCUGUUCGAGCGUCAUUAUAACCCCUCAAGCUCAGCUUGGUGUUGGGGCCUGCUGCACUGGCAGCCCUUAAAAUCAGUGGCGGCGCCAUCUGGCUCUAAGCGUAGUAAUUCUUCUCGCUAUGGAGUCCUGGUGGAUGCUUGCCAUCAACCUCCAAUUUUUCUGUGGUUGACCUCGGAUCAGGUAGGGAUACCCGCUGAACUUAAGCAUAUCAAUAAGCGGAGGA
rnacentral:misc_RNA from 1 species